UCCCUGGUUGAUCCUGCCAGUAGUCAUAUGCUUGUCUCAAAGAUUAAGCCAUGCAUGUCUCAGUGCAAGCCGCAUUAAGGUGAAACCGCGAAAGGCUCAUUAAAUCAGUUGUGGUUCCUUAGAUCGUACCCAAGUUACUUGGAUAACUGUGGUAAUUCUAGAGCUAAUACAUGCCGACAGAGUUCCGACCGUCGCGGCGCCCUCGGGCGUCGCUCGCGGGAGGAACGCUUUUAUUAGAUCAAAACCGGCCCGUCGCGGCGUGCUUCGUGCGCGUCCCGAUCGCGGCCCGCGCAAAGACCUGGUGACUCUGAAUAACUUCGAGCUGAUCGCACGGUCUCCGUACCGGCGACGCAUCUUUCAAAUGUCUGCCUUAUCAACUGUCGAUGGUAGGUUCCAUGCCUACCAUGGUGGUAACGGGUAACGGGGAAUCAGGGUUCGAUUCCGGAGAGGGAGCCUGAGAAACGGCUACCACAUCCAAGGAAGGCAGCAGGCGCGCAAAUUACCCACUCCCGGAACGGGGAGGUAGUGACGAAAAAUAACGAUACGGGACUCAUCCGAGGCCCCGUAAUCGGAAUGAGAACACUUUAAAACCUUUAAACGAGGAUCAAUUGGAGGGCAAGUCUGGUGCCAGCAGCCGCGGUAAUUCCAGCUCCAAUAGCGUAUAUUAAAGUUGUUGCGGUUAAAAAGCUCGUAGUCGGAUCUGUGUCUGGACGGUGCCGGACCACCCUGGCGGUCCGUCGUGUCGCGGCCGGCCGUGUCGCGGGACCACGUGUCCCGUCGGCGCGGUCGCCGUCGCGCUCGUCAGCCGUCUCGGGGUGUUAGUUACCGGCACGUCGGCCGGACGUAUUGUCGGCAGGCGGACACGUGUCUCGUGCUUCCGGCGCGCCGCGCGGCCACGCGUCGCGCGGCCGUCGGUGUUCGACGACGGCGGCCGCCUACUCCAAUCUUGCUGCGCGGUGCUCUUCACCGAGUGCCGUCGGCGGGACCGACACGUUUACUUUGAACAAAUUAGAGUGCUCAAAGCAGGCUCGAAUCUGGCGGG
rfam:Acyrthosiphon pisum strain LSR1 Contig2962, whole genome shotgun sequence.